AACGAACGCUGGCGGCAUGCCUAACACAUGCAAGUCGAACGAGAACUUCGGGUCUAGUGGCGCACGGGUGCGUAACGCGUUGGAACCUGCCCUUAGGUUCGGCAUAACUCCCCGAACGGGAUGAUAAUACCGGAAAAUGUCUUCGGACCACUGAUUUCUCGCCAUUGGAUGGGCCCGCGUUGGAUUAGCUGGUUGGGAGGGUAAUAGCCUACCAAGGUGAGGAUCCUGAGCUGGUCGGAGGGGAUGAUCAGCUACACUGGGGAUGAGACACGGCCCAGACGCGUACGGGAGGGAGCAGUGGGUAAUGUAGGACGAGGGGGGAAAGCCUGAUGCAGCAGUGCCGGGGGAGAUGGGAAAGGCGUUGUGUACUAAAGCUCGUUUACCCGAGGUGAUAAUGACGGUACCGGAAGAAUAAGCACCGGCUAACUCCGUG
rnacentral:rRNA from 1 species